UGGGGAAUAUUGGACAAUGGGCGAAAGCCUGAUCCAGCAAUGCCGCGUGAGUGAUGAAGGCCUUAGGGUUGUAAAGCUCUUUUACCCGGGAAGAUAAUGACUGUACCGGGAGAUUAAGCUCCGGCUAACUCCGUGCCAGCAGCCGCGGUAAUACGGAGGGAGCUAGCGUUGUUCGGAAUUACUGGGCGUAAAGCGCACGUAGGCGGCUUUCUAAGUUAGAGGUGAAAGCCCGGAGCUCAACUCCGGAAUUGCCUUUAAGACUGGAUCGCUUGAAUCAUGGAGAGGCGGGUGGAAUUCCGAGUGUAGAGGUGAGAUUCGUAGAUAUUCGGAAGAACACCAGUGGCGAAGGCGGCCCGCUGGACAUGUAUUGACGCUGAGGUGCGAAAGCGUGGGGAGCAAAC
rnacentral:rRNA from 1 species